rnacentral:rRNA from 1 species
GGUUUAAUUCGAUGAUACGCGAGGAACCUUACCCGGGCUUGAAUUGCAGAGGAAGGAUUUGGAGACAAUGACGCCCUUCGGGUCGUCUGUGAAGGUGCUGCAUGGUUGUCGUCAGCUCGUGCCGUGAGGUGUCGGCUUAAGUGCCAUAACGAGCGCAACCCCUCUCCUUAGUUGCCAUCAGGUUAAGCUGGGCACUCUGGGGACACUGCCACCGUAAGGUGUGA